UACAGAGGGUGCGAGCGUUGUCCGGAAUCACUGGGCGUAAAGGGCGCGUAGGUGGCGACCCAAGUCAAUGGUGAAAGCUCGAUGCUCAACAUCGAGUCGGCCACUGAUACUGGGUUGCUCGAGCACUGUAGAGGCAGAUGGAAUUCCGGGUGUAGCGGUGGAAUGCGUAGAGAUCCGGAAGAACGCCGGUGGCGAAGGCGGUCUGCUGGGCAGUUGCUGACGCUGAGACGCGAAAGCGUGGGGAGCAAACAGG
rnacentral:rRNA from 1 species